GAGAGAUACUGUAUCCUCACUGAGCCCCCACCUGAACUUCUGGAUAUUUUUCUCUUUUUUGUCUUUAUUCUCUCUCCUCCCCUGUUCGUAUUCUUCUUCCCCUUCGUAUUCUGACAACCCCCUAUCAGACCUACAUAAUAAUGAUGAUAUCUUUACCUUUCCCCCUUCUACCCAUUCGCAUGUUCACUUUUUCAGAUUUGAUUUCAAACCUUUUAAAUUCACCCUUCCCCUUUCUUGUUGAUCUUCUUGUAAUAUUCCUUUACCCAUUACUGGGACCAACUUCCCACCACGUAUGCUUCAUGACAUGAUAAACUGGAUAUAGAAUUUUUGAACUAGGGAAGUUAGGGAUAUGGCAUACGUGUAUUUCGUGGACGUACGAAAUUGUGGUAUAGGUAACCGGGACGCAUCAGGGUUUUUUAUUCAUGACAGUCAUAUCAACAUGGAAAUCUUCACCUUUUUCAAUUUCCCUUUUAGUUCUCUUCCUUUUUAUCUUUCUUCUUCCCCCUUUUCGACAGAAGGUAGCGACAUACAUAUCCCACCUAAUUAUAAGCUC
rnacentral:sRNA from 1 species